GUGCCAGCAGCCGCGGUAAAACGUAGGAGGCGAGCGUUAUCCGGAUUUACUGGGUGUAAAGCGCGUGCAGGCGGUUGGUUAAGUUGGGUGUGAAAGCUCCUGGCUCAACUGGGAGAGGUCGCUCAAGACUGGCCAACUGGAGAGCAGUAGGGGAAGGUGGAAUUCCGGGUGUAGUGGUGAAAUGCGUAGAUAUCCGGAGGAACACCAGUGGCGAAAGCGGCCUUCUGGACUGCAUCUGACGCUCAGACGCGAAAGCUAGGGGAGCAAACGGGAUUAGAAACCCCAGUAGUCC
rnacentral:rRNA from 1 species